rnacentral:tRNA from 1 species
AGAUAAUUAGUCUAAAAUAAAACAUUUGAUUUCGGCUCAAAAGACUGUGGUUUAAGUCCGCAAUUAUCUA